rnacentral:misc_RNA from 1 species
UUGGCAAAGCCGAUCGCGACCGGCCAUGACAGCGCCUCGCCAUCCACGCUCUGGAUGUCAUACUUGCCGCUGUAGACCGUCUUGUUGAGCCAGCCCGCGACCGGCCCCCACACGAAAGCGACAUCGGCCCUGCCCUGAUCGAGCGCCUUCAUGCCUUCGUCGGGACUGAGCACCGUGACCUUCUCGAUCUCGUCGCGUUGCGCCAACAG